rnacentral:pre_miRNA from 1 species
AUUACCUGGGGAUCUUGUUAAAUCAUAUUCUGAUUCAGUAGGUGUGGGCUAGGGCCUAAGAUUCUGAAUUUCUAACAAGCUCUCGGGUGAUG